rnacentral:rRNA from 1 species
UACGUAGGGGGCAAGCGUUGUCCGGAUUCAUUGGGCGUAAAGAGCGUGUAGGCGGCCAGGUAGGUCGGUUGUGAAAACUGGAGGCUCAACCUUCAGAGGUCGACCGAAACCAUCUGGCUAGAGUCCGGGAGAGGAGAGUGGAAUUCCUGGUGUAGCGGUGAAAUGCGCAGAUAUCAGGAAGAACACCCGUGGUGAAAGCGGCUCUCUGGAACGGUACUGACGCUGAGGCGCGAAAGCGUGGGGAGCGAACAGG